GAUGAAGAACGUAGCGAAAUGCGAUAACUAAUGUGAAUUGCAGAAUUCCAGUGAGUCAUCGAAUCUUUGAACGCACAUUGCGCCCUUUGGUAUUCCGAAGGGCAUGCCUGUUCGAGCGUCAUUAUCACCCCUCAAGCCCUCGGCUUGGUGUUGGACGGUUUGGUGGAGGCCCCCACGGGGGUUCCUGCCCCUCCCAAAGACAAUGACGGCGGCCUCGUUGGACCCCCGGUACACUGAGUUCUUCACGGGACACGUAUCGGACACAUGGGUUUACGGGACACGGUCUGCCUCCCCUCAGGGAGAAUCUUUCUAAGGUUGACCUCGGAUCAGGUAGGGAUACCCGCUGAACUUAAGCAUAUCAAUAAGCGGAGGA
rnacentral:misc_RNA from 1 species